AAUGAAGGCGAUGACGUUUUCCUAUGCGAGUACGAGUAUGACAUACAUUGGCAUAGUUUCAAGCGGCUUGCAGAGAUU